CCAGAUCCCUCAAUAUCCCGGGGCUUCAGAGGACGCGCUGCGCCCCCCCCCACCCCCCCGCAUUCAGCCCUGAGUGACCCUCACCCACCCACAACUCAUACUUCUGAGCUCCAGUCUGCCUGCCCCUCCUGGUUAGAUUCCUCCGUUGGAUUUCUGUGGCUUGUCGCCACAGAUAAGGUCCUGGCAUUCAGACUCAUCUAGGUUCAAAUCCCAUUCCAGCUACCUUCUAGAAGCAGCCACUGGACUGUUGUCUAUUUUAAAAUAGCGACAAAGACUGGUUUGUGAGGCUCUGUGGAGUUUAGUGACAGCCCUUGUGAAGCUCUAUACUGUGUUAAUACCCAUAGACACUGGGAGAGACCUUCUGGGCAACUGAGUGACAAUGCAUGGGACAGAAGCACUGAGACAGCACCCUGCACCCCCAGGUCUCACCUGCACCCCCAGGCUUCACUUGCACCCCCAGGCUUCACCUGCACCCCCAGGCUUCACCUGCACCCCCAGGGCUCACCUGUACCCCCAGGCUUCACCUGCACCCCCAGGACUCACCUGCACCCCCAGGGCUCACUUGCACCCCCAGGCUUCACCUGCACCCCCAGGCCUCACCUGCACCCCCAGGGCUCACCUGCACCCCCAGGCCUCACCUGCACCCCCAGGCCUUAUCUGCAGGUCUUAACCCUGCACCCAGAGAUCUCACCUGUAGUUUUUUUUUUUUUUGGGGGGGGUGGUUUUUCCGAGACAGAGUUUCUCUGUGUAACAGCCUUGGCUGUCCUGGAUCUUGCUCUGUAGACCAAGCUUGCCAUCCACCUGCCUCUGCCUCCGGAGUACUCUCCUGUAGUUCUUAAUUCUGCACCCACAGGCUCUUGCUGAUGACAAGCCAGAGCUUUGCUUUCUGCAUAGAGGGUCCGAGAUGUUUUCUCUCCAGGAAACCCACUUGGUCCCUUCCGAUUGGCGCUCAUUCUUCCAUACCUGUCCUUUGUUGCUGAACCCAGGUCUGUCACCCAGAAGGUGCUUAUCAAGACACGGCCCUUAACCACAGGCUUUGAAGGUGCUGUUCCAGUGACUCACGCCUGGGAGGGGACGAUGAGCCUCAUUGAGUCUACCCACCUCCCCAAGAGAGCGGGACCUAGGCAAAGCUUCCGUAAGCAAGUGGACUGAGGGAAGAUUGGAGCCGAGAUAUCUGCUGAUGUCGGACUUCAGCAGUCUUCAAUUAGAAAUUAUAUUGAAGAUGGAAGAAUGACAUUCAUAAAAGCAACCAGAGCGGCAAGGUAUACGAGUAUUUAAGACCUUGGGGAAUUCAAUGUAGCAUCAAAAAGCCCCCCCACCCCAAACAACCGAUCCUUACUCGAGAGGGACUAGCCAAGAUCAGAAGAAUCCUGACAGUUAACAAGGAAGGGUCAGUGAGAUGGAUCAGUGAGUAAAAGCACCUGCAGCCAAACCUGAUGAUCAAAGUUCAAAUCCCCAGACCCACCCAGUAGAGCAUCGACUCCCACUAGAAACCUGACCUUCAUAUCUAUACCACGGCAUGGCAUGCAUGUCCACACAUGCACACCAGGUAACUAAAUGAAAGCUGUAAAGGAAGGAAGAAAAUUUAAAAAGCACGGGAGGAAGACUGGGAAAUGAAAGGCAGAGUUGGAUCUCCGUAUCUGGAUCUGUGCUUGGUUGACAAGUGUCUAAGCAGAAUGGCUCCCACCACCCACUCAUGUGGAUGAAACAAAUCUCAGCGAUGUCACUUCAGCCUGAAUUCCAGAGCAACUGAACUUGACUCCAUUGGCAGCUUAGCUUUACUCCUCUGACUUACCUUCCAGAAGAAUCUGAGAGGAUGCCUUUUUAUUUGUUUAUUGAGACAGGGUCUUAGUAUGUAGCUCUGGCUGCCCUGGAACUCACCCUGUAGAUCUGCCUGCCUCCACCUCCCCAGUGCUGGGA